CCGCCAUCUACUAGGGCCCUCCACUCCCUCUUCUCUCCUCUUUCCCUUUUUCUUUCCCUUUUGUCCUUCUCUCAUUUUCAUCAUCUUCUUCUUAUUUUCUCUAAUUUUCCUCUUUUUCUUCUUAUUUUUCCUAAAUUAUCAAUCUCUAUAAAUUCUAGUUAUUCUCUCUCUUCUAAUUCUUACACUAGAUGUUGUGAUCAUUGAUGAAUC
rnacentral:lncRNA from 1 species